UACGAGCCAAGAGAGCUGUUCAAAAUGUCUUCAAUUUAAAUUGGACAAGGUUACUAAAAAUUCCUUCCAAGAAAGGUCCGAACUUCUAACCUACCACGUCCGAAUAGCCUACUUUUGUCAAAUACAAUCAACACGGCAUAUUUCCUUAUAAUUUCAGUUGUAUUUAUCUUCAAUUUCUUAAUAGCUUACUUUUAACCAUGAAAAACAAGUAAGACAAAGUAACGCAUAUUAACAUUUCAAGUAAACAAAACAGAUACGCUAGGCCUGCAUUUCAAGUAAACAUAAAAGUGCAUAAGGCCUACAUGUCAAGUAAGCAGAACAGGAACACUAGGCCGACACUUCAAAUAAACACAAAGUGCAUUAGGCCUACAUUUCAAGUAAGCAAAACAGGUACACUAGGCCUACAUUUCAAGUAAGCAAAACAGGUACCCCAUCUGUCGUGACUGAGACAACCUUUGUUAGUUCAAUCCCCCUCUUUGACUGCAUCGCCUUAAUAGCCUCAUAAAUAUCUUCUCGUCUUGUGUGUGUCUCAAGUGGUGUUAGACCCAACAGAUCCUCACAGAUCUCUUUCUUGCCUUGAUGAAAAAAUCGCACAUACACCAAAAGCUAGGCAUUAUCAGUUACAUCUGAAGACUCAUCAAUGGCUAAGGAUGGGGCACUCUGAACAGCCACAUCAAGCUGUGACAGUGCGUCAUCUGAUAACAUUUCAGAUUUUCUCGCGUCACUGAAAGUUUUUUCAUGUUGCCCCAAAAUCCAUGCAAUCUUAAGUGAGCAUUAAUUUGCACGUUGAUGGCCUGUAAAUGAGUGUGUGAACAAUCGCGUAGACCUCUCAUACUGAGCUCUCAGCUCGGAUAUUUUCCACGCUCUUACUUAAAAGGAUACUUUUCCUCAAAGGAUCUGUGUUUGGAUUCGUAAUGCCGCUUAAUCUUCCCGCUUUUUAUCAGCGCCACGAUAUCAACACAUAAAAGACACAGCAAAGGAUUAGUACUGCCUUGCGGGAGAAUGAACAUCUAUUGGUCAGUCCAUUCAUCUUUAAAAUGUCUGUUUUCGUGGUCUACUUUCCUAAUUUUCGAGCAAGCCAUUUUCUCAUUCCAAAUCGCUCUUCCGGUAAGCAAUCAAUUUGAUUGGCUAUUUUGUGAGUGACGC